rnacentral:rRNA from 1 species
AUUGAACGCUGGCGGCAUGCCUUACACAUGCAAGUCGAACAGUAGGGGGAGCAAUCCCCUGAGAGUGGCGAACGGGUGAGUAAAGCAUCGGAACGUGCCCAGUUGUGGGGGAUAACUACUCGAAAGAGUGGCUAAUACCGCGUACGACCUGAGGGUGAAAGCGGGGGACCGAAAGGCCUCGCGCAGUUGGAGCGGCCGAUGUCAGAUUAGCUAGUUGGCGGGGUAAAGGCCCACCAAGGCGACGAUCUGUAGCUGGUCUGAGAGGACGACCAGCCACACUGGGACCGAGACACGGCCCAGACUCCUACGGGAGGCAGCAGUGGGGAAUUUUGGACAAUGGGCGCAAGCCUGAUCCAGCCAUGCCGCGUGCAGGAAGAAGGCCUUCGGGUUGUAAACUGCUUUUGUCAGGGAAGAAAUCUUCUGGGUUAAUACCUCGGGAGGAUGACGGUACCUGAAGAAUAAGCACCGGCUAACUACGUGCCAGCCGCCGCAGUAAAAC